rnacentral:rRNA from 1 species
UACGUAGGGCCCAAGCGUUGUCCGGAAUUAUUGGGCGUAAAGAGCUCGUAGGCGGCCUGUUGCGUCCGCUGUGAAAUCCCGGGGCUUAACCCCGGGCGUGCAGUGGAUACGGGCAGGCUGGAGGCAGGCAGGGGAGAACGGAAUUCCCGGUGUAGCGGUGAAAUGCGCAGAUAUCGGGAGGAACACCGGUGGCGAAGGCGGUUCUCUGGGCAUGUACUGACGCUGAGGAGCGAAAGCGUGGGGAGCGAACAGG